AUGCAGAGAGCAAAUGAUGAGAUAUAUGGUUCGUGGGGUAGUAGCUUCCGGUACCUAUUAAAUUUCAAAUCAGAGGUAAAACUGAGAUCUCCUGGAACCAUUGUUGAGGCCGACACUAAACUAAAGGACGGUAAUGUUUACUUUCAUAGAUUCUUUAUGGCACUUAAGCCUUCUGUAGGUGGGUCACGCUGGAUGUAG
rnacentral:rRNA from 1 species